AAAAUUCUGAAAGGAGAUAUAUGUGUAUUUAAACAGAUAUCUAUAUAUCUCUUUAAAAUUAUUUAUUUAUUUAUUCUACCACACACACAAAAAAAACACACACACACAAACAGAUGGAAAACCCUCUGAUUUCUUUCUUAUAACUUGCUAGGGUAAAAGCUACAUUUAAUUUGAAAAUCCUUUACUCUUAUCAUAGUCCUUUCUCUUGUAUCUUAAUUGAGCAAGUAACAGAAAAACAACAAAAUUCCAUGAUAUCACUGACCGCAUAAAAUACUAACAUCUAAAAAAUAGGACAAAGCUUUCCUCUCAAUAGAACUAACUCGCCGGGCGCGGUGGCUCAAGCCUGUAAUCCCAGCACUUUGGGAAGCCGAGACGGGCGGAUCACGAGGUCAGGAGAUCGAGACCAUCCUGGCUAACACAGUGAAACCCCGUCUCCACUAAAAUACAAAAAAAUUAGCCGGGCGUGGUGGCGGCGCCUGUAGACCAGCUACUCGGAGGCUGAGGCAGGAGAAUGGGGGACCGGGAGGCGGAGCUUGCAGUGAGCUGAGAUCGGCCACUGCACUCCAGCCUGGCGACAGAGCGAGACUCCGCCUCAAAAAAAAAAAAAAAAAAAAAAAAAAAAAAAAAAAAAAAAAAAGAACUAACUUGCUAUAAUUUAUAGAUAGACAUAUAGAUAGAGAGAUAUCCAUUUAAAUACAUAUAUAUCUCUUUUCAGGAUUUUCCUAUCAAAUAUGCAUGCAUAUUUAUCUCCCCCCGCUCUGUGUAGACAUACACACACACACACACACACACACACACACACACACAAACACACACAUAUGUAUACACUCUCUGUUCUGCUUCUCUGAAUGAAGCCUGGCUGAUAGGCAUUAUUAUCAACACUGAAGCCUAGCCAACAAGAAACCCCUUUAAGAGCCAACUCUGCCUUUUUUCCAGAAAGCUAACUGGAAAGUCUGAGGUCAUUCAAGAGCAUAAAAAGUUGAUUGAUCUGUCAAUAUGUAAUAGCUUUAGAUAUAUUCAUACAUGUCAAAAGUCAUGAUGAGACUGAGAUGUAAGAUUAUAUUAUAAUAUUUCAUCAUAGAAAUGAAGAAUGCUCAAAUCCUACUCUUAGCCACCACUGCCUUUUCAAAGCCAGACAGAGUAAUAUUUAAUGAGUUAUAGACCUUCACAACUAUUUUGGGAUGAUGCAUAGAUGAGUGUAUGUGUGGUACUUGGUGAGGAGUGCUGUAAAAGAUAAUUCAAUCUCAUUUUUCAUCAUGAGGACUCAAAAGACUGUAUUCAACAUUUAAAAAUUAAUGAGUGGGAAAAUAAGCACAUUAAUUAGAAAUAGGAAAGCAAAUAUCAAAAAGGAGCCACAAUAAUAGAAAGUAGCACAGGUGGACAUAAACAUGGAAGCAAUACACACUGCAGACUUCUAGAAGGGAUGGGGCAUGGAUUGACAAACUACCUCUUGGAUAUUAUGCUCAUACCUGGGUAAUAGGAUCCAUAACCCAAACCUCAGCAUCAUGCAGUAUUCCCAUGUAACAAGCCUACACAUGGACCCUCUGUAUCUAAAAUAAAAGUUAAAAAAUAAAAAGCAAUACAUUGCCUUCAGAAAGAGAAAACUUGUGGCGAUAGGGAGAGUAAUGUGGUAGAGUUUUUGUUUAUUGUUGUUUUUUGAUAAAAUAUUACUUGUACAAGUAUCUGACUCUUUAAAAUAUUUUCA
ensembl:lncRNA